UCGUUUCGUUGAAGAUUUAAACGAGUAUGAUAGAUAAAAACUGAUUGAAUUGAUAAUAUAGCAAGAAUUAUAACCAAUAAUCUAUUUUGCAGUUAAAUUACAGAAUCUUUAUUGACACCAUUGGUAGAAGAUUUGGAAUUAAAAAAAGAAGAAAAAAUCAAACAAUUUAAAGAUAUAAACAGUUGAGCUGGAAAGGUUAUAAUGCUUGGCUAUGAUGAAGGUUAUGAGACAUGUGCUUUCUUAGGUACUAAUGACCGUGCUUUCUUAUAUCGAUUCUUUUCAACAAGAGUCCAGGCUUGACAUGAUGCCUACUAAAGAAGGAACACAUGAGUAAUUCCAUGAAGAGGACAAGUAGACUUCAUAUUGUUAACCGAUGACUCCGAGAACAGUUUAGGAACAAGCAUUGGCCAACACUUGCGAGCCUAGGUGGCGACAACUUGAAAUUUUGGCGUCACGAAUCGGGAAAAUGUGUUACUCGUGUAGAUUCGGUUUCGAUGAGUGGGGUUACUUUACGGCCACACUCUCUCAAGAAAAAAAACCUUCUUGGUGCUCUCGAGGAUGCAGAUUUAUGCUUGGUUUCCUUUCGAUUUGGAGACACUGAUUGGUGACUGGUCGGUUGGUGCAUUUGGAGAUGUUCGGAAUUUGUUCAAGUCAUUUACAAGGCAGUUUGGGAUGAAGGCAACAAUUGGCAAUUGGUUUUAGACAUUCCCAUUUAACAAAACUAGCAUGGGAACUGAGAGAUCGCCAACUUGGACAUACCAACUUGCUACACUUAUGGACCUUGCAAAUUAUACAGAAGAUGGGUUAAGAGCUAUGGUGUUAUUCUUAUAAAAAGAUUAAAGACUGGAUAUUGAAGUUCAUUCCAU
rnacentral:lncRNA from 1 species